rnacentral:rRNA from 1 species
UUCCGGUUGAUCCUGCCAGAGGUUACUGCUAUCGGGGUCUGACUAAGCCAUGCGAGUUGAGAGGGGUUAAGCCCUCAGCGUAAUGCUCAGUAACACGCGGAUAACCUGCCCUUGGAUCCGGGAUAACCCCGGGAAACUGGGACUAAUACCGGAUAGAUCACGGAUACUGGAAUGUUCCUUGAUCCAAAGCUCCGGCGUCCAAGGAUGGAUCUGCGACCUAUCAGGUAGUAGUGGGUGUAACGUACCUACUAGCCUACAACGGGUACGGGUUGUGAGAGCAAGAGCCCGGAGAUGGAUUCUGAGACAUGAAUCCAGGCCCUACGGGGUGCAGCAGGCGCGAAAACUUCACAAUGCAGGAAACUGCGAUAAGGGGACCCCGAGUGCCAGCAUCUAAUGCUGGCUGUCCAGCUGUGUAAAUAGCAGUUGUUAGCAAGGGCCGGGCAAGACCGGUGCCAGCCGCCGCGGUAACACCGGCGACCCGAGUGGUAACCGAUUUUAUUGGGUUUAAAGGGUCCGUAGCCGGUCUGUUAAGUCUCUUGGGAAAUCUGGCGGCUCAAUCGUCAGACGGUCAAGAGAUACUGACAGGCUUGGGACCGGUAGAGGUGGGAGGUACUCCAGGGGUAGAGGUGAAAUUUUGUAAUCCUUGGGGGACCAUCGAUGGCGAAGGCAUCCCACUAGAACGGGUCCGACGGUGAGGGACGAAAGCUGGGGGCACGAACCGGAUUAGAUACCCGGGUAGUCCCAGCCGUAAACGAUGCUCGCUAGGUGUCAGAUGCGGUGCGACCGCAUUUGGUGCCGCAGUGAAAACCUGAAGCGAGCCACCUGGGAAGUACGGUCGCAAGGCUGAAACUUAAAGGAAUUGGCGGGGGAGCACUACAACGGGUGGAGCCUGCGGUUCAAUUGGAUUCAACGCCGGG